GGGGACUACGAGCAUAAGCUUAAAACCCAAAGGACUUGGCGGUGCUUUAGACCCCCCUAGAGGAGCCUGUUCUAGAACCGAUAACCCCCGUUCGACCUCACCUUUUCUUGUUCAUCCCGUCUAUAUACCGCCGUCGUCAGCAUACCCUGUGAAGGAAACAUAGUAAGCAAAACUGGUAAAACCCAAAACGCCAGGUCGAGGUGUAGCAUACGAAAAGGAAAGAAAUGGGCUACAUUUCCUCUUGCAGGAAAUACGAAUUGUGUCAUGAAACAGCACAUGAAGGAGGAUUUAGCAGUAAGCAGAAAAC
rnacentral:rRNA from 1 species